rnacentral:rRNA from 1 species
AGUGAACGCUGGCGGUAGGCCUAACACAUGCAAGUCGAACGGCAGCACAGUAAGAGCUUGCUCUUACGGGUGGCGAGUGGCGGACGGGUGAGGAAUACAUCGGAAUCUACUUUUUCGUGGGGGAUAACGUAGGGAAACUUACGCUAAUACCGCAUACGACCUACGGGUGAAAGCAGGGGAUCUUCGGACCUUGCGCGAAUGAAUGAGCCGAUGUCGGAUUAGCUAGUUGGCGGGGUAAACGCCCACCUAGGCGACGAUCCGUAGCUGGUCUGAGAGGAUGGUCAGCCACACUGGAGCUGGGACACGGUCCAGACUCCUACGGGAGGCAGCAGUGGGGAAUAUUGGACAAUGGGCGCAAGCCUGAUCCAGCCAUACCGCGUGGGUGAAGAAGGCCUUCGGGUUGUAAAGCCCUUUUGUUGGGAAAGAAAAGCAGCAGGUUAAUACCCCGCUGUUCUGACGGUACCCAAAGAAUAAGCACCGGCUAACUUCGUG